CCAAGGAGUUUAGCGUGUGCGCGAGUCAUUGGGUGACAAAACCUAAAGGCGCAAUGAAAGUGAAGGGGAAUCUUCUUUUUCGAGGGAGGACAGGUUCAAUUCUAAUAGAAUUGUCUCGCACUCCCGGGGCGUCUCUUUCUCAUUGCGAGAGAAGGCGCACCUAGAGCGUACACGCUGAUACCCGAAAGAUGGUGAACUAUGCCUGGCCAGGACGAAGCCAGGGGAAACCCUGGUGGAGGUCCGCAGCGAUUCUGACGUGCAAAUCGAUCGUCGGAGCUGGGUUUAGGGGCGAAAGACCAAUCGAACCAUCUAGUAGCUGGUUCCCUCUGAAGUUUCCCUCAGGAUAGCUUGCGCUGAGGAACGAGUCUCAUCCGGUAGAGCGAAUGAUUAGAGGCCUUGGGGUCGAAACGACCUCAACCUAUUCUCAAACUCCAAAUAGAUGAGAACCCCGGCUUCCUUGGAUUAUGAAGCCGGGGGCUCGGAUCAGAGUGCCAAGUGGGCCAAUUUU
rnacentral:rRNA from 1 species